rnacentral:rRNA from 1 species
AUUGAACGCUGGCGGCAGGCCUAACACAUGCAAGUCGAGCGGAUGAAGGGAGCUUGCUCCUGGAUUCAGCGGCGGACGGGUGAGUAAUGCCUAGGAAUCUGCCUGGUAGUGGGGGAUAACGUCCGGAAACGGGCGCUAAUACCGCAUACGUCCUGAGGGAGGAAGUGGGGGAUCUUCGGACCUCACGCUAUCAGAUGAGCCUAGGUCGGAUUAGCUAGUUGGUGGGGUAAAGGCCUACCAAGGCGACGAUCCGUAACUGGUCUGAGAGGAUGAUCAGUCACACUGGAACUGAGACACGGUCCAGACUCCUACGGGAGGCAGCAGUGGGGAAUAUUGGACAAUGGGCGAAAGCCUGAUCCAGCCAUGCCGCGUGUGUGAAGAAGGUCUUCGGAUUGUAAAGCACUUUAAGUUGGGAGGAAGGGCAGUAAGUUAAUACCUUGCUGUUUUGACGUUACCAACAGAAUAAGCACCGGCUAACUUCG